rnacentral:rRNA from 1 species
UACGUAGGGGGCUAGCGUUGUUCGGAAUUACUGGGCGUAAAGCGCCCGUAGGCGGCUUUGUAAGUUAGAGGUGAAAGCCCGGGGCUCAACUCCGGAAUUGCCUUUGAGACUGCAUCGCUAGAAUUGUGGAGAGGUAAGUGGAAUUCCGAGUGUAGAGGUGAAAUUCGUAGAUAUUCGGAAGAACACCAGUGGCGAAGGCGACUUACUGGACACAUAUUGACGCUGAGGUGCGAAAGCGUGGGGAGCAAACAGG